rnacentral:lncRNA from 1 species
AGAGGAGGAGAGGGGAAAGGGAAGAAAAGCUGCUGCUCCAGAUGCAAUAAGAAGGGAGCUAUUCUGUUCUGAAUCAGCAUGGGAUAGAGUGCCUAGAAGACGUUCAGACCAAGCUCAGCUAGCGGUGAGUGGGCAAUGCACACCGGCUGCCCUAUGCGGCCAUUCUGAGUGAGCAGCAGAAUAGCCUGG